GCUCAGCCCGCACACAGGAGGCCAAGCCGUGGAGCGCUCCCAAGUUUUUCCAUGUCCAUGUGCCAAAGUCUGUGUUGGCCUCAUGGACUUUUUCUUGCUCAUGAGCGCAGUUCAAAAGAUGCAGGAUGAGACUGGAGACACGAGGCCAUGGCUGAGGCUGCCCGGCUGACCCGCUGGGCUGGAGCUGCUUGCAGGGGAGCACUGCCAAGGAAGGCAGGGGCAGAAGUCCACUUGUGCAGCAGCACUCCAACGUUAGAAGCCCAGAAGGACACAGCACCUUUCUGGAAAUGAGAGAUGUAAAGCCACAAGCAAGCAGCGUGAGCACCGCGCUCCUGUGGAAAAGAAACCCAUGUUCAGCUACCGGUGCCUUUGGGAUGGAGACUGGGGCCUGCCCCAACACAUCGAGGAAGGGUUCCCAUCCAGGCUGCGGGCAAUUGGGCACUGGUUCCCACAGAGUGUGGCCUGGCCUCGUGCUGCUGCACCAAAGGAAUCGCUGCUUGGGGCUGCCCAGU
rnacentral:lncRNA from 1 species